CUAGUAUAAACAGGUAGUGAGUGGAUAACUAGGAUGUUAUAUAAGGACGUUAUUUAAACGAAAAUUGGCCGUGAGAUAGAUGAGGGCCAAAUCUCCAAAAAAAGAAGAAAAAGCCUAACCCUAGGAAUUGAAACAUCUAAGUACUAGGAGGAGAAGAAAUCAAGUGAGAUUCUGUAAGUAGUGGUGAGCGAAAGCGGAGAGAGAAUUGCAAAUUUUAAAAUCCAAAGAGGGAAGUAGUCUCGUUAAGACAAGAAGGAAAAAAGGAGUAGAAAAAUUUGAAGAUAGGUGUACCACACAUCUAACUCUAAAUAUAUAUAACGUACCGAUAGUGAACUAGUACCGCGAGGGAAAGUUGAAAGAGAUAAAAAUGAAAUAGAUCUUGAAAUUCGCUACCUACAAGCAGACGAGAGUCGUCGUACCUUUUGUAUAAUGGGUUCGCGAGAAAAAAAUUUGGCAAACUUAAGUUGAUAAACGUAGGUGAAGUGAAAACAAAUUUUAAUAGAGUAUCAAGUCAAAUUGAGCCCGAAACCAAGUGAUCUAGCUAUGGGCAGUUUGAAGCUUCUUUAAAUGGAGGUGGAGGAACGAACCGGUGAUUGUGGCAAAAUUCUCGGAGGACCUGUGGCUAGGGGUGAAAAGCUUAUCGAACUUGGAAAUAGCUGGUUUUCUGCGAAAAUUAUUUAAGUAGUGCGUCGUAAGUUAAUCCAUUCUUGGACGGUAAAGCACUGAAUGGGUUAUCGCACAUUUAAUGUGAAGGUAGCCCAAACAAACUAUGAAAGUGUAAGAAGAGAGUACGAUAGACAGGCCGUGGGCGAGAAGGUCCAUUGCCGAGAAGGAAACAACCUGGAUCAGAAGUUAAGGUCGUUGAUAUACUCUAAGUGUAAAAGGGGUUUAAAUAAGAAUAAAAACAAUGAGGAAGUAGGCUUGGAGCCAGCCAUUUUUUAAAGAUAACGUAAUAGUUCACUCAAUAAAUUUAUAAAUUUCCAAAUUAUGGCGGCUUAAGUAGUAAACCGAAACUCUGAAUCUAAAUGAGGGUGGUAGCAGAACGUACUGUAAUUAUGUUUGAAGUUGCGAAAGCGUUUAUCAGAAGUGACAAUGCGAACAUGAGUAAAAAACAGCGUGAAAAUCGUUGCUCAUGGCCCAAGGUUUCCAAUUUUAGGAUUUUCCGAAUUGGGUUAUACCGCCCCUAAGAGAAGAUCGAUGGGUAAUCAAUAGUAAGUGGUAUAAUAAAUUAUUUGCCUAAAAGACGGUACCGCAAACUAACUCAAGUGGGCGAAAGAGUGAUGGUAAAAUUUAUCUUAAGGAACUCGGCAAAUUGUCCCCGUAAGUUCGCAAGAAGGGGAGCCAGUAGGAAAUAGAAAUUGUAUAAUUUAAUUUUACUGGUCUUAGAAAAGAGGUGGUGUCGACUGUUUACCAAAAACAUAGCUUUCAACAAAGGACCUUAGGUCUGAAGUGUUGAAGGUGAGGCCUGCCCAGUGGUUGUAUUUAAAAUCAAGUUAUAAAAUAAGUUGCUUGACUAAGAACAAUUAAAUGGCCGCGGUAACUCUGACCGCGAUAAAGUAGCGCAAUCAAUAGUCAAUUAAUUGUUGGCAAGUAUGAAUGGCUUAACGAGUACCCCGCUGUCUCAAGAUAAAUACCAAUGAAAUUGAAUUCGUAGUGAAGAUGCUACGUGCAAAUUGUUAGACGAGAAGACCCCGUUGAGCUUUACUGGAAACUUAUAUUGUUUUUUUUAAUUAAUGGCAUUCAUGGGUAGGUGCACUAUUCAAUUUUUUGGUAAGAACUAAUUAUUAGUGUAAGUCGGACAGUUUGAUUGGGGCGAUCGCCUUCUAAAGAGUAACGAAGGUGCACAUAAGGUGAAUACUGUAAUAGAAUAGAAGAGAAGCUUGACAGUAAGAGUUAUUCUCGAGCUGACACGGGUGUCGAAUAAGGAUAAAGCCGUGGGUUAUAGUGACCCGUUUGUUUAGGGUGGGAUAACUAACGAUCAAUAAAUAAAAGUUACCACGGGGAUAACAGCGUAAUCUCGUUUGAGAGUUCGUAUCGAUGACGAUGUUUGCGACCUCGAUGUUGAAUUGCGGUUUCCUGGGGGUGCAGCCGCUUCCAAGGGUUGGACUGUUCGUCCAUUAAAACCGUACAUGAUUUGAGUUCAGACCGGCGUGAGCCAGGUCGGUUUCUAUCUACAAUUUGUUUAGGAAAUAUCAGAUACAACUACACUCUAGUACGAAAGGAUUGAGUGUUUAGUUAUCCGCUGGUGGACCAAUUGCAUUGCUGUUGGGUGGCUACGAUAAAAUUAAUAAUCACUGAAUGCAUCUCAAGUGAGAAGUAAAGUAUUAUUCUAUGUUUCCAAUUUGAGGACCGUUUGAGAAUAGAACGUUGAUAGGAUCUAUAUGAAGUAUAAGAUUACUAAGUUUCAAAAUACUAGUC
rnacentral:rRNA from 1 species